rnacentral:lncRNA from 1 species
CCAUAGCAAGAACAAAGGAAGAAAAGAAGAACACAAACCCUAGGUGGGAAAAUUCAAGGGAAAAGUGUGAAAAUUCAAGUAAUCAGGCAAUCAAAGGUAAAAUUUCUGGAUUUUGACUUGUGAUCUACCUUUCCCAUGCGUUAUUUUGCAUUUUUCAUGGUUGAAUCACAAGAUGUCAUGAAGGAUUCAUGGCUGACCGAAUUUAGAGAGAGAAGAUUUGGUGGUUGUUUUGGUUAGAUUUUAAGAUAUUUUAGUGUUUUUAGUUAGUUAGUGAUGUGAAGCAUGAAAAUCAAACAAGAAAAAUUCAUUUUCUCCCAUAACCCAUCAUUGUUCGAAUUUUUCAAGAGAAAAUGUGAGGAUGAUUUUGCCACAUUUCAAGUUAUUUAAAUUGUGUUUAAUGAUUUGGAGUAUUGGGAGAAAAAUGGAGUUAAUUGGAGUUGAAUUGGACAUAUUGACCAAUUAAUCAAUGAUAGAUUGAAUUAGGCCAAUACCGAUUUAAUUAGGGACCCAUAUGAAUUUGUGUAGAAUAUCGUGUUUAGACGGUAAUCCGAACAAUUUGCAUCCCAUUUCAUACAUUAGUAUAAAGUCUGAAUUGGUUUUAUAACAAUUUAUCACAAUGUAGUAAAUGGCUUAUUGUGUAUUGUGUAUAGGCGGUGAGCCCUCUAACAAGGGUAAAGAUGUUGUGUCAGAGGACUGAGAAUAGGAGUAUUUCAAACUCUUGAUACAGUGAGUAACCUUAAUAUCGUCUUAAUUAUCUAAAAUAUGUUUUAUUUGAUUUUGUGAAUUUUAUGGAAAAUGAAUUAAAUGAUUAAUUUUUUGAUUUUAUAAACCAAAUGUGAUUUAAUGAUAUGAUUUCAUAAAAUUGUUUUGAAAUUGAAUAAUGGCUUUGAAAAUAGAGUAAUUGGAGACCAUUUGAUGUAUUGUGAAUUUAUGGGUCUAAUUGAUUGGCUUAUGACAAUAUUGACAUGAAUGGCUGAUUUGGUAUUUGUGUUGAAAUGUAUAAACUGUUGUUUGCCUUGAUAGGCUAGAUAAUGAAAAAAUUGCCAUGUCAUGCUGUUGAAUUUUUAUUGUAUGGUGGGUUUAGCUUGCUGCAGUGGCCUGGUUCUGAGGACAAGCCUAUUAGAGGGGCACGGAACCUGGUCAUAUUCAUACUUCAGUAUGAGAGGCGCGGAUGGAUAACUUCUGAGGUUAACACUUUAGAGUUUACUUCACGUCAAACCACCACGUGAGUGUGAACUCAGCCAACACCAAGGAACGAUUGUGUUUCCAAAAUAAAAACAUGAUUUAUGCGUACAUAACUAUUUACCAACCUUGGCGGACUCGGUUGGGAUAGCCCUCGAUCAAGGCAUCCUGGAUAACUGGGUAUAAAAAUGAUUUUGGCACGAGCCAAAGUUUUAAGAAAUUCAUAGACCAUGUUGAUUACUAGAUUUAUAUGAAUUGAUUUUAUUUGGUUGAAACAAGUUGAAAGGUGAUGAAUUAUAGUAUGUUAAAUUAUUUUAUCUGUCUCCAUUUACUCGGCUUUAGAUAUUUUAGAUGGUAUUUGUUUAUUCACUGGGAUUAUAUAAUCUCACCACUCUCCUUUCCACCCAUUUCAGAGGAUAGUCUAUAGAUAGCUGAUUUCAUUGAGGACCACCAUUGCAUUUGCAUCCUCCAAAUUGUAGGUUCACAAUGUUUCUUACUUUUGGUUAUUCGAGG